rnacentral:tRNA from 1 species
ACUCCCGUGGCUCAAUGGAUAGAGCGUUUGCCUCCGGAGCAAAAGGUUGUGGGUUCGACUCCCGCCGGGAGUA